rnacentral:rRNA from 1 species
GAUGAACGCUGGCGGCGUGCUUAACACAUGCAAGUCGAACGCACAUAUCUUUCGGGGUGUGUGAGUGGCAGACGGGUGCGUAACACGUAGGUGACCUGCCUUCAAGUGGGGAAUAACUGUCCUAACGGAUGGCUAAUACCGCAUAUGUUCCCGGCGUCGAGUCGGGAGUAAAGCCUUCGGGCGCUUGGAGAUGGGCCUGCGGCGGAUUAGCUAGUUGGUGGGGUAACGGCCUACCAAGGCGAUGAUCCGUAGGGGGCGUGAGAGCGUGGCCCCCACACUGGCACUGAGAUACGGGCCAGACUCCUACGGGAGGGCAGCAGUGAGGAAUAUUGCACAAUGGGCGCAAGCCUGAUGCAGCAACGCCGCGUGCGGGACGAAGGCCUUCGGUCGUAACCGCUUUCUGGGAAGAGCAGGACGGUACCGUCAGGAAUAAGUCUCGGCUAACUACGUG